GACAGAGGGGGCAAGCGUUGCUCGGAAUUACUGGGCGUAAAGGGCGCGUAGGCGGCCUACUAAGUCGGACGUGAAAUCCCUCGGCUCAACCGGGGAACUGCGUCCGAUACUGGUGGGCUCGAAUCCGGGAGAGGGAUGUGGAAUUCCAGGUGUAGCGGUGAAAUGCGUAGAUAUCUGGAGGAACACCGGUGGCGAAGGCGGCAUCCUGGACCGGUAUUGACGCUGAUGCGCGAAAGCCAGGGGAGCAAACGGG
rnacentral:rRNA from 1 species